CUCAUUUCUACACAACAAAUGUUUUUGUUCACGGUUUGUACCCACAGUUGGGGACAGCAAGAGUGGACCAUAGCAUUCCUUUGCCUCAUCCCCAGCCAGGAUGGACAUUACAACACUACUCAGGGACCACCAGGAGGGGAAUGGGGUCCUCAAACCCAAGUCUCACCCUAUACCACUGUGUGGAGAUGCCUUUUCA